UACGUAGGGAGCAAGCGUUGUCCGGAAUUACUGGGCGUAAAGCGCACGUAGGUGGCGACGUAAGUCGGGUGUGAAAGCCCCGGGCUCAACCUGGGAAUUGCAUUCGAGACUGCAUUGCUGGAGUACGGAAGAGGAAGGCGGAAUUCCCGGUGUAGCGGUGAAAUGCGUAGAUAUCGGGAGGAACAUCAGUGGCGAAGGCGGCCUUCUGGUCCAGUACUGACACUCAAGUGCGAAAGCGUGGGGAGCAAACAGG
rnacentral:rRNA from 1 species